GAUGAACGCUGGCGGCGUGCCUAAUACAUGCAAGUCGAGCGAACAGACGAGGAGCUUGCUCCUCUGACGUUAGCGGCGGACGGGUGAGUAACACGUGGACAACCUACCUAUAAGACUGGGAUAACUUCGGGAAACCGGAGCUAAUACCGGAUAAUAUAUUGAACCGCAUGGUUCAAUAGUGAAAGACGGUUUUGCUGUCACUUAUAGAUGGAUCCGCGCCGCAUUAGCUAGUCGGUAAGGUAACGGCUUACCAAGGCAACGAUGCGUAGCCGACCUGAGAGGGUGAUCGGCCACACUGGAACUGAGACACGGUCCAGACUCCUACGGGAGGCAGCAGUAGGGAAUCUUCCGCAAUGGGCGAAAGCCUGACGGAGCAACGCCGCGUGAGUGAUGAAGGUCUUCGGAUCGUAAAACUCUGUUAUUAGGGAAGAACAAAUGUGUAAGUAACUAUGCACGUCUUGACGGUACCUAAUCAGAAAGCCACGGCUAACUACGUG
rnacentral:rRNA from 1 species